rnacentral:rRNA from 1 species
ACGCUGGCGGCGUGCCUAAUACAUGCAAGUCGAGCGAACAGAUAAGGAGCUUGCUCCUUUGACGUUAGCGGCGGACGGGUGAGUAACACGUGGGUAACCUACCUAUAAGACUGGAAUAACUCCGGGAAACCGGGGCUAAUGCCGGAUAACAUGUUGAACCGCAUGGUUCUACAGUGAAAGACGGUCUUGCUGUCACUUAUAGAUGGACCCGCGCCGUAUUAGCUAGUUGGUGGGGUAACGGCCUACCAAGGCGACGAUACGUAGCCGACCUGAGAGGGUGAUCGGCCACACUGGAACUGAGACACGGUCCAGACUCCUACGGGAGGCAGCAGUAGGGAAUCUUCCGCAAUGGGCGAAAGCCUGACGGAGCAACGCCGCGUGAGUGAUGAAGGUCUUCGGAUCGUAAAGCUCUGUUGUUAGGGAAGAACAAAUGUGUAAGUAACUGUGCACAUCUUGACGGUACCUAACCAGAAAGCCACGGCUAACUACGUGCCAGCAGCCGCGGUAAUACGUAGGUGGCAAGCGUUAUCCGGAAUUAUUGGGCGUAAAGCGCGCGUAGGCGGUUUUUUAAGUCUGAUGUGAAAGCCCACGGCUCAACCGUGGAGGGUCAUUGGAAACUGGAAAACUUGAGUGCAGAAGAGGAAAGUGGAAUUCCAUGUGUAGCGGUGAAAUGCGCAGAGAUAUGGAGGAACACCAGUGGCGAAGGCGGCUUUCUGGUCUGCAACUGACGCUGAUGUGCGAAAGCGUGGGGAUCAAACAGGAUUAGAUACCCUGGUAGUCCACGCCGUAAACGAUGAGUGCUAAGUGUUAGGGGGUUUCCGCCCCUUAGUGCUGCAGCUAACGCAUUAAGCACUCCGCCU